AUAUAGAUUGAGAACCAUGUAGCUAGCUAGCAAGAAAUUAGAAUUGAAGCAGCAGGGGGGAACAUUAGAGAUUAUUCAUUAAUAAGAAUAAUGGCAAGAACUACUACUAUUCAACAUCGUACCUUGGGUGUGCUAGUGAUUCUUCUUGCGUUUUCUUAUCUUCUUAUAUGCUUGAAAGCAGUUCCAAUUACAAGAAGUGAAAGCCUCAUGCAAGGUUCUCAAGCCCAUGGUAGUAACCACAAGGAUGAGGAUAUGAAUAAUGAUGAAAAAACAGAGAGAAUGGAUUUGGAACUGCUAGACUAUUA